rnacentral:rRNA from 1 species
GAUGAACGCUGGCGGCGUGCCUAAUACAUGCAAGUCGAGCGAACGGACGAGAAGCUUGCUUCUCUGAUGUUAGCGGCGGACGGGUGAGUAACACGUGGAUAACCUACCUAUAAGACUGGGAUAACUUCGGGAAACCGGAGCUAAUACCGGAUGAUAUUUUGAACCGCAUGGUUCAAAAGUGAAAGACGGUUUUGCUGUCACUUAUAGAUGGAUCCGCGCUGCAUUAGCUAGUUGGUAAGGUAACGGCUUACCAAGGCAACGAUGCAUAGCCGACCUGAGAGGGUGAUCGGCCACACUGGAACUGAGACACGGUCCAGACUCCUACGGGAGGCAGCAGUGGGGAAUCUUCCGCAAAGGGCGAAAGCCUGACGGAGCAACGCCGCGUGAGUGAUGAAGGUCUUCGGAUCGUAAAACUCUGUUAUUAGGGAAGAACAUAUGUGUAAGUAACUGUGCACAUCUUGACGGUACCUAAUCAGAAAGCCACGGCUAACUACGUG